rnacentral:rRNA from 1 species
UGCAAGUCGAGCGGACAGAAGGGAGCUUGCUCCCGGAUGUUAGCGGCGGACGGGUGAGUAACACGUGGGUAACCUGCCUGUAAGACUGGGAUAACUCCGGGAAACCGGAGCUAAUACCGGAUAGUUCCUUGAACCGCAUGGUUCAAGGAUGAAAGACGGUUUCGGCUGUCACUUACAGAUGGACCCGCGGCGCAUUAGCUAGUUGGUGGGGUAAUGGCUCACCAAGGCGACGAUGCGUAGCCGACCUGAGAGGGUGAUCGGCCACACUGGGACUGAGACACGGCCCAGACUCCUACGGGAGGCAGCAGUAGGGAAUCUUCCGCAAUGGACGAAAGUCUGACGGAGCAACGCCGCGUGAGUGAUGAAGGUUUUCGGAUCGUAAAGCUCUGUUGUUAGGGAAGAACAAGUGCGAGAGUAACUGCUCGCACCUUGACGGUACCUAACCAGAAAGCCACGGCUAACUACGUGCCAGCAGCCGCGGUAAUACGUAUGUGGCAAGCGUUGUCCGGAAUUAUUGGGCGUAAAGGGCUCGCAGGCGGUUUCUUAAGUCUGAUGUGAAAGCCCCCGGCUCAACCGGGGAGGGUCAGUGGUCUUGACAUCCCUCUGACAACCCUAGAGAUAGGGCUUUCCCUUCGGGGACAGAGUGACAGGUGGUGCAUGGUUGUCGUCAGCUCGUGUCGUGAGAUGUUGGGUUAAGUCCCGCAACGAGCGCAACCCUUGAUCUUAGUUGCCAGCAUUCAGUUGGGCACUCUAAGGUGACUGCCGGUGACAAACCGGAGGAAGGUGGGGAUGACGUCAAAUCAUCAUGCCCCUUAUGACCUGGGCUACACACGUGCUACAAUGGACAGAACAAAGGGCUGCAAGACCGCAAGGUUUAGCCAAUCCCAUAAAUCUGUUCUCAGUUCGGAUCGCAGUCUGCAACUCGACUGCGUGAAGCUGGAAUCGCUAGUAAUCGCGGAUCAGCAUGCCGCGGUGAAUACGUUCCCGGGCCUUGUACACACCGCCCGUCACACCACGAGAGUUUGCAACACCCGAAGUCGGUGAGGUAACCUUUAUGGAGCCAGCCGCCG